AUGCUCACUUGGGCAGCACAUAUACUAAAAUUGGAACAAUACAGAAAAUUAAUUAGCAUGGCCCUGUGCAAGGAUGAUACACAAAUUCAUGGAGUGUUCCAUAUUUUU
rnacentral:snRNA from 1 species